rnacentral:rRNA from 1 species
UGGGGAAUAUUGCACAAUGGGCGAAAGCCUGAUGCAGCGACGCCGCGUGCGGGAUGAAGGCCUUCGGGUUGUAAACCGCUUUUAAUUGGGAGCAAGCGAGAGUGAGUGUACCUUUUGAAUAAGCACCGGCUAACUACGUGCCAGCAGCCGCGGUAAUACGUAGGGUGCAAGCGUUAUCCGGAAUUAUUGGGCGUAAAGAGCUCGUAGGCGGUUUGUCACGCCUGGUGUGAAAGUCCAUCGCUUAACGGUGGAUCUGCGCCGGGUACGGGCAGGCUAGAGUGCAGUAGGGGAGAUUGGAAUUCCCGGUGUAACGGUGGAAUGUGUAGAUAUCGGGAAGAACACCAAUGGCGAAGGCAGAUCUCUAGGCUGUUACUGACGCUGAGGAGCGAAAGCAUGGGGAGCGAACAGGAUUAGAUACCCUGGUAGUCCAUGCCGU